rnacentral:rRNA from 1 species
AGAGUUUGAUCAUGGCUCAGAAUCAACGCUGGCGGCGUGCCUCAGACAUGCAAGUCGAACGGUUAAGACUCCCUUCGGGGAGUGUAUAAAGUGGCGCACGGGUGAGUAACACGUGGGUAAUCUACCUCCGGGUGGGGGAUAACCCGCCGAAAGGUGGGCUAAUACCGCAUAAUGCAGCGGCACCGAAUGGUGACGGUUGUUAAAGGAGCAAUCCGCCUGGAGAGGAGCCCGCGGCCGAUUAGCUAGUUGGUAGGGUAAUGGCCUACCAAGGCGACGAUCGGUAGCCGGCCUGAGAGGGCGGUCGGCCACACUGGCACUGAAACACGGGCCAGACUCCUACGGGAGGCAGCAGUCGGGAAUCUUGGGCAAUGGGCGAAAGCCUGACCCAGCAACGCCGCGUGAGGGAUGAAGUCCUUCGGGAUGUAAACCUCGUAAGCAUGGGAAGAAUAAAUGACGGUACCAUGCGUAAGCCCCGGCUAACUACGUGCCAGCAGCCGCGGUAAUACGUAGGGGGCUAGCGUUGUUCGGAUUUACUGGGCGUAAAGCGCGUGUAGGCGGUACAUUAAGUCAGCUGUUAAAUUCCCGAGCUUAACUCGGGAAAGUCGGCUGAUACUGAUGUGCUAGAGUGCAGAAGAGGCAACUGGAAUUCUCGGUGUAGCGGUGAAAUGCGUAGAUAUCGAGAGGAACACCGGAGGCGAAGGCGAGUUGCUGGUCUGACACUGACGCUGAGACGCGAAAGCUAGGGGAGCAAACAGGAUUAGAUACCCUGGUAGUCCUAGCUGUAAACGAUGGGUACUAGGUGUUGCCCGUAUCGACCCGGGCAGUGCCGUAGCUAACGCGUUAAGUAUCCCGCCUGGGGAGUACGCUCGCAAGAGUGAAACUCAAAGGAAUUGACGGGGGCCCGCACAAGCGGUGGAGUAUGUGGUUUAAUUCGAUGCAACGCGAAGAACCUUACCAGGGUUUGACAUGUCCGGAACCUCGGUGAAAGCUGAGGGUGCCUUCGGGAACCGGAACACAGGUGCUGCAUGGCUGUCGUCAGCUCGUGUCGUGAGAUGUUGGGUUAAGUCCCGCAACGAGCGCAACCCUUGUCGUUAGUUGCCAGCAUGAAGAUGGGCACUCUAGCGAGACUGCCGGUGACAAACCGGAGGAAGGUAAGGAUGACGUCAAGUCAGCAUGGCCCUUACAUCCUGGGCUACACACGUACUACAAUGCUACGGACAAAGGGCAGCCAACCUGCGAAGGAGAGCAAAUCCCGUAAACCGUGGCACAGUUCAGAUUGCAGGCUGCAACUCGCCUGCAUGAAGGCGGAAUCGCUAGUAAUCGCCGGUCAGCAUACGGCGGUGAAUACGUUCCCGGGCCUUGUACACACCGCCCGUCACACCAUGGGAGUUGGCCACGCCCGAAGUCGUUACUCCAACCGGUGACGGAGGAGGACGCCGAAGGUAGGGCUGAUGACUGGGGUGAAGUCGUAACAAGGUAACGUA